CUGAUCACACUCUCUCUCCUCUACCCAAGACUGCCGACCAGCUCUCCCUCCCUCUCUAACUCCAUUGUUCCAAAAAUUUCUUACUCAAACCACCACCAAAACAUCUCCAAAUUCAACCAAACUUGCACCACACUUAGAUUAACACUUGAGGAGUAUUUUGAGCUGCAAAAGGGAGCUGAAAAGCCACGGUUUUUUGGAGCAAAGAGUGACCAAAAAUUUCUGAUCUAGUCAUCCAAGAAGGCGCUCAAGGGGACCUUCAAGAAGAACUCGAAGUGGACGCCUAGACACUUGUUUGAGUAUUUACUCUCUUGUUGCAAUAGGACUGGGCUCGGUCGGGUAGGUUGG